CCGCAAAUAGAAAAUUGGAGCAAAUACCUGGUGCUUGGUGAGCCUCUGCAAAUGGCUCUGGUCUUCUUACUUCUUAGGGUGGAGAUCAAGAGCUUGACAUGUACUUCUUCUUCUUAUAAACUUCCCUCAAGAUAGCCUUCUACUUCUGAGAAAUCACCGUCAACACUUGACCAAAGGACAACCACACAACC